AGGGUGUAAACGCUGCAGACUUGGUGUUGGGAACCCUUCGGGGGUGCUCAGUGCCGGAGAGAAGUUGUUAAGUCUGCUACUUGGGGAGUACGUCCGCAAGGAUGAAACUUAAAGGAAUUGGCGGGGGAGCACCGCAACGGGAGGAGCGUGCGGUUUAAUUGGAUUCAACGCCGAAAAACUCACCAGGGAAGACUGUUACAUGAAGGCCGAGAUGAAGACUCUGCUAGAUUUUUCAGAGAGGAGGUGCAUGGCGUCAGUGACU
rnacentral:rRNA from 1 species